UCGCCACGGUAAAACCAGCUCCUCGAGUGGUUGGGACGAUUAUUGGGUCUAAAGCGUCCGUAGCCGGCCGGAAAAGUUCCCCGUUAAAUCCGGCGAUCCAAUCGCCGGGCUGCGGAGAAUACUCUCCGGCUUGGGGGCGGGGGAGGUCGGCGGUAGUCCCGGGGGUAGGGCGAAAUCUUAUAAUCCCGGGAGGACCACCAGUGGCGAAGGC
rnacentral:rRNA from 1 species